rnacentral:rRNA from 1 species
UCCUACGGGGGGCAGCAGUGGGGAAUAUUGGGCAAUGGGCGAAAGCCUGACCCAGCAACGCCGCGUGAAGGAAGAAGGCUUUCGGGUUGUAAACUUCUUUUACCAGGGACGAAGGACGUGACGGUACCUGGAGAAAAAGCUCCGGCUAACUACGUGCCAGCAGCCGCGGUAAUACGUAGGGAGCAAGCGUUGUCCGGAUUUACUGGGUGUAAAGGGCGUGUAGGCGGAGACGCAAGUCAGGAGUGAAAUCCCCGGGCUCAACCCGGGAACUGCUUUUGAAACUGCGUCCCUUGAGUAUCGGAGAG